GGAAAAGAAACCAACAGGGAUUGCCUCAGUAACGGCGAGUGAAGCGGCAAAAGCUCAAAUUUGAAAUCUGGUUCGCCCGAGUUGUAAUUUGAAGAGGUUGUUUUGGAAGCGGCUCUUGUCUAUGUUCCUUGGAACAGGACGUCACAGAGGGUGAGAAUCCCGUGCGAUGAGAUGCCCGCUUCUAUGUAAAACGUCCUCGACGAGUCGAGUUGUUUGGGAAUGCAGCUCUAAGUGGGUGGUAAAUUCCAUCUAAAGCUAAAUAUUGGCGAGAGACCGAUAGCGAACAAGUACAGUGAUGGAAAGAUGAAAAGAACUUUGAAAAGAGAGUGAAAAAGAAUGUGAAAUUGUUGAAAGGGAAGGACUUGAGAUCAGACUUGGAGGAUUUAUCCUUCUGGGCCAGCAUCAGCUCGAGGGGCGGGAGAAUGGCGCAGGAAAGUAGCUCAUUGAGUGUUAUAGCCUGCGCUGAUGCCGCCACU
rnacentral:rRNA from 1 species